UACGUAGGGUGCAAGCGUUGUCCGGAAUUAUUGGGCGUAAAGGGCUCGUAGGCGGUCUGUCACGUCGGGAGUGAAAACUCAGGGCUUAACCCUGAGCCUGCUUCCGAUACGGGCAGACUAGAGGUAUGCAGGGGAGAACGGAAUUCCUGGUGUAGCGGUGAAAUGCGCAGAUAUCAGGAGGAACACCGGUGGCGAAGGCGGUUCUCUGGGCAUUACCUGACGCUGAGACGCGAAAGCGUGGGGAGCGAACAGG
rnacentral:rRNA from 1 species